rnacentral:lncRNA from 1 species
UGGACACGCCCCUGUCCGGAUCCCGCGCAGGCGCAGUAUUCUCUUCUGAGGGCUAGCCUGUUUCCUAGCAACUUGAGAGACUAAUCUCUGGCCUUGAUUGAGCCUCAGUCCUGUGUGCAGAGACGUUCGCCUCUACCUCUGGCAAGGCCAGCUCUCUGAGAACUGAGCGCCCUUAGAGUCUGCACCGGUGCUGCAUCUGUGGACUGAGAUGCCAAGACGUCUCCGCCCGGACUGGCAGAAAGUGGGCGUCGCAGAGUGUGUGCGGCUCGAGAACUGCGCCUGAGAUUAGCCCAGAGAAACAAUCCCCGCAGCUCUCGGGAGUCCGGAGCAACCGCGAGCUCCGCCUCCUCCUCCUCCUCGGUGGGCACUAUCAGAUCUCUCAACCAGUUUUGGCAUCUAAGGGAAAUGGAUGCCAGCCUAGGACCAUCGUCGCGUGUGACCUGCAUUUUAGUGCUUGAAAGGAGCAAUAGUAUAUUUUUGAAAACUGGGUGCGGAAGGAGAAAGAUGUCACUGAAGAGCGGACUGUGUGCGCACCAGCCCCUGGGAAGGCUCAGGAACCCUCCGGCCCGGGCGUGGGUGACCUUACUAACCAUCAUCUGCAAACUUCAAGGAUCUUCCCUCAAAGCCAUUUGAUCAGGCUUCUGCACAGAGCUGCUGUCUUAACACGGGAAGGAGCGCUGCACCCGAAGGCAGGCUGUCCUAGCACCUAGAACCAACUCUACUCUUCUCUCUAUUGGAGAAGCUAUCAAAAUUCUAAGGAGCCAUGAGGAACAGCUUCCUCUUCUGUCCAUCCUUGAAUCCUCAGUCAGGAUCCAAUGAAAGU